rnacentral:rRNA from 1 species
GCAGCAGCCGCGGUAAUACAGAGGGUGCGAGCGUUAAUCGGAUUUACUGGGCGUAAAGCGUGCGUAGGCGGCUAAUUGAGUCGGAUGUGAAAUCCCCGAGCUUAACUUUGGAACUGCAUUUUUAACUACCGGGCUAGAGUGUGUCAGAGGGGGGUGGAAUUCCACGUGUAGCAGUGAAAUGCGUAGAUAUGUGGAGGAACACCGAUGGCGAAGGCAGCCCCCUGGGAUAACACUGACGCUCAUGCACGAAAGCGUGGGGGGCAAACAGGAUUAGAUACCCGCGUAGUCCCUGUCUCUUAUAA